GACGAACGCUGGCGGCGUGCCUAAUACAUGCAAGUCGAGCGCAGGAAGCUGACGGAACUCUUCGGAGGGAAGGCAGUGGAAUGAGCGGCGGACGGGUGAGUAACACGUAAGGAACCUGCCUCAAGGAUUGGGAUAACUCCGAGAAAUCGGAGCUAAUACCGGAUAGUUCAUCGGACCGCAUGGUCCGUUGAUGAAAGGCGCUUCGGCGUCACCUUGAGAUGGCCUUGCGGUGCAUUAGCUAGUUGGUGGGGUAACGGCCCACCAAGGCGACGAUGCAUAGCCGACCUGAGAGGGUGAUCGGCCACACUGGGACUGAGACACGGCCCAGACUCCUACGGGAGGCAGCAGUAGGGAAUCUUCCACAAUGGACGAAAGUCUGAUGGAGCAACGCCGCGUGAGUGAUGAAGGUUUUCGGAUCGUAAAACUCUGUUGUAAGGGAAGAACACGUACGAGAGGGAAUGCUCGUACCUUGACGGUACCUUACGAGAAAGCCACGGCUAACUACGUGCCAGCCGCCGCGGUAA
rnacentral:rRNA from 1 species